rnacentral:rRNA from 1 species
AGAAUCAACGCUGGCGGCGUGCCUAACACAUGCAAGUCGAACGCGGUUACCCCGCAAGGGGUAACUGAGUGGCAAACGGGUGAGUAACGCGUGGGUGACCUGCCUUCGAGUGGGGGAUAACGUUUCGAAAGGAACGCUAAAUACCGCAUGACAUCCUGCCUUUGGACAGGCGGAGAUCAAAGCCGGGGAUCGCAAGACCUGGCGCUUGGAGAGGGGCCCGCGUCCGAUUAGCUAGUUGGCGGGUAAUGGCCCACCAAGGCGACGAUCGGUA